rnacentral:rRNA from 1 species
AGUGAACGCUGGCGGCGUGCCUAAUACAUGCAAGUCGAACGCAGUGGGGACGGGUGAGUAACACGUGGGUAACCUCCCAUCAGAGGGGAUAACACUUGGAAACAGGUGCUAAACCGAUACUGAUGGAUGGACCCGCGGUGCAUUAGCUAGUUGGUGAGGUAACGGCUCACCAAGGCCACGAUGCCUAGCCGGCCUGAGCGGGUGAUCGGCCACACUGGGAAUGGGAAACGGCCCAGACUCCUACGGGAGGCAGCAGGAGGGAAUCUUCGGCAAUGGACGAAAGUCUGACCGAGCAACGCCGCGGUAGUUAAGAAGGUUGUCGGAUCGUAAAACUCUGUUGUUAGAGAAGCGGUAUCUAACCAGAAAGCCACGGCUAACUACGUGCCAGCAGCCGCGGUAAUAC